AUUUUCGAUUUCCCAUUUUACCCUUCAAUUCUAUUUUACACUAAUUCACAAAUUGAGGGCUUAAUGGUCUUUGCAUAUGAAAAAUAUCUCUAUCAAAUACACUGUGCUAACCCUCAGUUUCUCUGUCAAUUGUAGAAAAGAGAGAAUCCAAUCGAUGACUACAGCACCGAGUCUUCCUCUUCUAUCGGUGACUACAAAGCCGAGUCUACAUCUUCUUGCGAUUCGCCGUGUUUCUUCAUCUUGCUGCAAUUUGUACACCCUAAAAUAGAGAGUUGGUGGAAUCUCCCAAAAACCAGAAAAUUCGCACCGAAAUAGGAAACUGGCGACCUGAGUGUCCAAUGUGUUCUCUGGUCGAUUAAAUCGAUGACUACAGUGUUGCAUUUUACCUUAGGUAAGUUGUUCGUGAUUUGUGUUUUUUAUUCCUCACUCUAUCUCCGAUCAGUUUUUGUUGAUUUUCUUCGGUUUCGUGUUGUGAAGUUUACGGGUGUGGUUAAAAGGUAAGCUGUUCUUUUCUCUUUUUGUUUAUAACAUGAAUCCUAUAAAUCUAAAUUUCUUCCAUAAUGUUUAUUUAGAUCUUCUGUGAAAAUUGUUAUCUUGUUCAUGUUCUAAAGUUUUUGUACCUUUUUUACUUCUCUUGGAACAUAAAUUGUAGCACCGUACCUUUUUAAAUUUUGAAAGUUAUAUGUUGUUCUUUAGAGGUUUAAAUUUUUAUUUUUAUUUUUUUUCCCUAGAAUCUGGAUUUGUAGUAAUGACUUGUUUGUUUAUUAAUUAUUAAUUCUAAGUACAAGAGUGUAAUCCAUGAGUUUGAUCCAUAUUUUAAUUAAAGAGACACCAAGGCAUGUUCUAACUCAUUGGAUUUUCUAGAACUGCAGAAUUUAAUUAUUUUACUCUUGUAAUCUUUGCUUAAGAAUUUCAUGACAAAUAUAUGUUCAUCUAUUUUCUGUUCUAUAAACAAUAAUUACAUGUAUUAUACUAUGGGAUACACACAUGGUGAAAAAGAGUUCUUCCAUUUAAACAGAUAGAGUAUAUAUUAUAGCCUAUUACAGAUUCUGUCAACACCAAUGGGUGAAAUUUUAAAUGUAAUAUAAAACAAAUGUCUAAUUCUUGCACCGUGCAAGAAAUUGAAUCAACUACUAAAGGAUUUAACCACUAAAGUGUGUGAAUUUGCGGGAGAUUAUAUUUUUAUUUUAUUUUUAUCUAGAGAGAGAAAAUACUCUUAGGAUUAAAGGAAAGCUAGAAACAUAUGUGGUCACUUCCCUUCCAAAAGAGGAAACGUAUGGUCACUUUUAACAAUUGCUGAAGUAGGUAAGCUUUGACAUGGAAGCAGUUGUCUAAUUUUGAUGGUUCGUGGACUCUUCAAAAUCAAGCCUUUUUCAAUUUUGCGUGCUUGGCACAAACCCUUUAAAAAUGUCCAAGAAAUUGCCGCUCCUUUAUGGGAAAUGAACUAGAGAACAUUAUAAUUUGGUGAAGGGAGAUAUCAAGCUGAGCUGGCGUGGUUAUUCUUCAGCUGCCUCGUUUGCUUUAGACGGAGGUGAUUUUGUUGGGAUUCAUGGAAAUGGUGGUCGAGAUGGCAGAGGCAAUGGUGCGGCUGAGGGUGGAGAGUCAAAGUUGCGUUCCUAGGUGGCUAGAGUUGUCUAUUUUCUGAAUUUUUUUUUCUCGAUUCUUCUUCUUUUUUUCAAUUCAAUUUUGUAGAAAAAUUGAUUAAUAACAUAGGCCUCGAAUUUUGUUUUUUAAAAUUUUCUUAUGAGGAAUCAUUUCUUGAAAGCAUCUUUAGUUGUGUUUUCUUUGCCAUAUAUGAGCUUGUGUUUUGAUAUUUUCAUUAAUUUUUCUAAAUAAAUGAACUCUAGACAUUUUAAUUGUUUAUCGAUAUUGCAUCUGAUAAAUAAAAUGGUUGUGAUUCCUGAUUCAUUUAUUUGCCAAUGUGAUAUCCUGAAUUGGGGACUUUUCCCUCAGUUUUUAGAAGUAAUAAGAAAUUGAAAAAUUUAUAUUUUUAGUUGAGCCGGGAUUGUUAGAUUUUGAAUGUUUAGUUGUUCUAUUUCGGAUUAUUCCUACCAAGAGCAAGCACGAUUAGCGCGAUUCUGUUUAAAUGACUUAUGUAAAGGGAUUCUCAUUUUCAAGGAGGGUCUUUUGUCUAUUUCUCUUAUAUUCAUAUUGAAACUAAAGAAGGAAUUUUGUUAACUUCCUCCACUGCAGUGUGUAUUUUAUUAGGAGCAAUGCCCGGAGUUCUAAUCGGGCAAGAGAUCGCAGUACCAUCUCUGGUGCUAUUUUCUCAAUCGAGAUGGGAGUUAUGGAAACAACAACAUUUGAAGAGGUCCAGAACAUUUUUUAUUCGAGUGUGGAAAAUGGUUUGGCUGAACAUACAGUCAAAAAGAUUCCAAAGAUUACAAUUAGUAAAGAUGAAAAUUUUAAAGUUUUUUAUGAUAGACUCUCUUCCUUAGUCUGUCUUCAAGUACCAUUAAUCUCGAAUAAUAAUCAUUCCUUUAUUGAUAACUUGAUUUGAUUGCAAAGAAAAUCUCGUUUCCUAAA